rnacentral:rRNA from 1 species
UAGGGAAUCUUCCGCAAUGGACGAAAGUCUGACGGAGCAACGCCGCGUGAGUGAAGAAGGAUUUCGGUUCGUAAAACUCUGUUGUUAGGGAAGAAAAAAUGUAUAGUAACUAUAUACAAAAGAGACGGUACCUAACCAGAAAGCCACGGCUAACUACGUGCCAGCAGCCGCGGUAAUACGUAGGUGGCAAGCGUUGUCCGGAAUUAUUGGGCGUAAAGCGCGCGCAGGUGGUUGAGAAAGUCUGAUGUGAAAGCCCACGGCUCAACCGUGGAGGGUCAGUGGAAACUAAUAAACUUGAGUGCAGGAGAGAAAAGUGGAAUUCCGAGUGUAGCGGUGAAAUGCGUAGGGAUUAGGAGGAACACCGGUGGCGAAAGCGGCUUUUUGGCCUGCAACUGACACUGAGGCGCGAAAGCGUGGGGAGCAAACAGG